AUGCACUGUGGAAAUUUCCUGAGCUUCUGGCUUUGGGAGUUUUACUCUUGGUUUUCCCAGCAGUGUGGUUUGAGAUGUUUUAGUCUCUUUUCCGAUUGGGAAGGAAAAACACUCUGGAGAAAACACAGAAGGCUCUGGGUGCCCAAGGGUGCAGGCCCAUCUCAGCUGUGGGAUCACCAUCCACAGACAGAGGCCCUCCAGGUAUAUCUUACUGGAUUCCUGGAACCAGCGACACCUACAAAGCAUCUGUUGGGCAUCGGGAAGCUCGAGUUUUCUUCUCCCUUGAGUCGGAGACAUGAUAGAAGGCCCACACCUAAAAUAAUUCCAAAGAACUUUGAAAAUGGUUGCUCCUAGAGUUAUCCACAGCCUCUGGAGGAGUUAAACUAAACAUCUCCAGGACUCCAUCCUGGUUCUAACCACAGGACAGGACGGGUUUCAUCUUCAAGGACCACAGGGACCCAGAACACCAUUGCACUCCAGUCAGUUGUCCAGGUUCCUGCCCUCUGUCCUGGCUCCCUGGGUUUUGUUGAAAUACUUCUUGGUGAAAAUGUCUCGCUUUUGGAAGAGCUUAGUCUUGCUUGAAAGCUCAAAGCAUUCCAGUAACCAAGGUCCCUGAGCAGGCACCCUCCCCCACUCCAUGUGCUAGAAGCAACAUUGGGGAAAUGCCCAGAAUGGUGCCCAGAACGUGAGAGAGACCCAUGCAUUUCUGUCCCCUCUACUGUCACUGUGGGGUGCAAGUGGCCAUGUGCCCCUGUAACCAUGGAGACACAUGUUACAGCACAGACGGCCACGAACUUGACCUGGCUGCCUACAGAGGAGGCUUAGAUAUGGGUGCGUUUUCAGCCAGUGGACAUCAGCACAGCAUCAAACAGCAUUAAAAUAGAACACUGAGCUGAGAGAGAAAAUAAGAGGCCACUUCCUGUGGCUGCAGAAGGCAGAUGAGGCCUGGAAGGCCACCAAGGAGGCAGAUAGCUGACGGGACCUCAGAAGGACAGGAUGCGGGCGGGUCUCCAGGGAAGAAAAGUUAUGACAAACUUAGACAGCCUAUUAACAAUCAAAGACAUCACUUAGCCAACAAAGGUCCAUCUAGUCAAACCUAUGACUUUUCCAGUAGUCAUGUAUGGAUGUGAGAGUUGGACCAUAAAGAAGGCUGAGCACUGAAGAACUGAUGCUUUUGAACUGCGGUGCUGGAAAAGACUCUUGAGAGCCCAUUGGACUGCAAGGAGAUGAAACUAGUCAAUCCUAAAGGAAAUCUACCCUGAAUAUUCAUUGGAAAGACUAAUACUGAAGCUGAAGCUCCAAUACUUUGGCCACCUGAUGCGAAGAGACUACUCAUGCGGAAAGACCCUGAUGCUGGAAAAGACUGAGGGCAGGAGGAGAAGGGGGCAACAGGGGAUGAGAUGAUUGGAUGGCAUCAUCGGCUCAAUGGACAUGACUUUGAGUAAACUCCAAGAGUUAGUGAGGGAUAGGGAAACCUCCGUGCUGCACUCCAUGGGGUCACAAAGAACUGGACACAGCCGAGAGACUGAACAACAAGAACUCCAGGGCAAGAAGAGGACACCUGGGAGGAAAGGGUGUUUGCCGAGGGCAGAAGUAAGGGCAGGGAUGAGCAGGAGCCCACCUGGACUGAGGGACUGGUGGGCCAGGGAGAGCUCAAGGGAGGCAGCCAGGGAGACUAGUCAGAUCAUUUCAGCGAGAAGCCCCUAAGUUUCUGGUUUCUGGGGUGAGCAGUGUGGUGGAAACAGUUUUGGGAAAAUGCUGAUGAUUCAGGGCAGGAGGUGGGGGAGGCUUCUCAGAGUCCACUGCAGGACAAGGAGCCAGGCCGGCUCUAGUUACCCUGCCACCUUCUCACUGGCAUUUUCCCAUGAAAACUCCUGUGGACUCAGGUUGGAGAAGAAGCUAAUCAGCCAAAGCCAUCAAGGCACUGGUUUGGGGUGGAGGGGGCAGUCUCUCUCCCCCAGGGAUCAGCUGGUGGGGGACACUCAUUAUUCCCCAGUGUCUCCCGGCCCCCCAGGCCUGAGCACCCACUCAGAUAGAACCAGCUGAGUGAUUAGGUGAUGUGUCUUAUGUGGUGGGUAAGAGGAAACACAGAGCAGGGGGAGAGAGCAGAGUGGUCUCCUUGCCAGGUCACAGGUGAAGCUUCUGCAAGGUAGCGUCUGAGCAGGUGGACAAAGUAUCAGAGCUUCAGCUCCAGCAUCAGUCCUUCCAAUGUGUAUUCAGGGUUGAUUUCCUUUAGGAUUGACUGGUUUGACCUCCUUGUAGUCUAAGGGACUCUCAAGAAUCUAGCCCUAAAUCUAAUGGCAAGUGCCCUUAUAAGAGAUGCACAGAGUAGAAAUACACAGAAAAAGGAGGCCAUGUGGAGAUGCAGGCAGAGGAUGGAGGGAUGCAGCUACAGGCCAAGUAACACCUGGGUCACCAGGAACCAGAAGUGAGGAAUGGACUCUUUUUAGAGCCUCUGGAGGGAAGAUGGCUGCCAGCACCUGGAUUUUAUAUUUCUUCUCUCCAGAAUUUUGACAGAACAAAUUUGCAUUUUUCAAAGUCCCCCUGGUUUGUGAGACAUUGUCACAAUGGCCCUAGGACAAAAAUACAGAUACAGAUGCAAACUAGUGGCGUCAAGGCUGCUGAGGCAGCUUAGGAAUGCGCGUUCGUGCGCCCCGCUGUUGAGCUGGCAUUUAAGGAAUCCCAUCAUUUUUAAAGGCUCCCAGAUGAUUCUUACACAGGAUGUCCAUGGACUUGAGCUUGAGAACCACUGUUCUUGUCCAGUCCUCUCAUUAAGCAGUUGGAGGAAGAGAAUCUCCUCCAUGACCUGGAGCACACUGGGAGUACAGGGUCCUAGUCCCAGCAAUAUCACCAACUCCUUACUCACAACUCUUUGAUGAAUGACUGGUGGAUGGGCCAACAGUGUGGGUGAGGGAUUUCCCAGCCUUGUCUCUCCUGGCUUCUUUAGGAAACAGGCUCAAAGCUGGGCUCAGGGACCUUGGGGAGGGGGACCAGUGUCUUUACCUUCAAGAAAGAUGACUGGUGCUGACAUUCCCACAUUUUUCUCUCCUUAUCCAAGCCUCCUGCCAUUUUGGAAAACCACAACUGGGUACUGACUUCUCCCUUGUCUUUCCUGGCAUUAUUUCUUCUUAGAUGAGAUUCAGGCUAAAUGUACUUCCAGGUAGACCUGGGGAGGAGAGCAUCAGCUCCACUUUACUCAUUAGAGUAAAAACAUAAUCUCAUAAAGUCCUAAAGACAGCAAGGACAGCCUCAUGCAACUCAAGUAUCCAUCUGUUGACCCUCCCUUCCCCUCAGGCAGAAGAAGGACCUCAGCCCACUGGACAGGGUCAACCUGGGAGCCUUAAGAAGCAGCACUGCUGUUAGAAGUAUGAUUACAAUGUCAAUAUUACUACUACCAUCUGGUUAAAUUAAAUCUACUCUUCAACUAUUUUUGUAAGAAAUCAAU
ensembl:lincRNA